rnacentral:piRNA from 1 species
UGGAACAAAGAUGGCAGCUUCCUUGCGCA